rnacentral:rRNA from 1 species
UGACCCCAUGCCGAACUCAGAAGUGAAACGCCGUAGCGCCGAUGGUAGUGUGGGGUCUCCCCAUGCGAGAGUAGGGAACUGCUAGGCA